UACGGAGGGUGCAAGCGUUAUCCGGAUUCACUGGGUUUAAAGGGUGCGUAGGUGGGCAGGUAAGUCAGUGGUGAAAUCUUUGGGCUUAACCCGAAAACUGCCAUUGAUACUAUUUGUCUUGAAUAUUGUGGAGGUCAGCGGAAUAUGUCAUGUAGCGGUGAAAUGCUUAGAUAUGACAUAGAACACCAAUUGCGAAGGCAGCUGGCUACACAUAUAUUGACACUGAUGCACGAAAGCGUGGGGAUCAAACAGG
rnacentral:rRNA from 1 species